rnacentral:rRNA from 1 species
AUGGAUUACGCCGGCGCCGCCGCCGCUGCCCCUCCCUACCGCCUCCAAGCAAUGGAUUCAGCCGCCACCGCCGCCCCGCUGCUGGCCGACGAGGAGGACGCUCGGCGCAGCCGGAGCACCGACUGCAUCUCCAGUCCAUUCGUUCGUUCGUCCAUCCCCUCCGCUCCGCUCCCUCCAUCGAUAGAUGGAACAGUCCGCGCUAGGCUAGCUCCAGCCUCCGGCUGCCGGCGCACGAUUUGGUCUUGGUUUCCGGCGAGGGAGCCUUGCUCUGCUCCGCUCAGCAUGGUGCCGGAAAACUCGAUGCUAGCUAAGCUUGGUUUACGCACGACCAAAGCAUUAGGGCUUUAUGGGCAUCACUGGAGCUACAUCGCCAUUGUAGAUUCUCCGGGAAGCGAGUGCGAGUACUGUCACAUCGAUGCCACGAGGGUGAACCCCAGGGACUCCUGCACGACGUAUUUUGAGAGCCAAGAAUUAUAUUUAUGUUUGAUCCAUCCAGCUUAUGACAUCCUGAAUAUCGGUGGCACAGGUUUCAGAACCAUUGGGUAUUGGUCAAACUUUUCUGGUCUCUCAGUCGCUGCUUCAGAAAACUUGCAUUCAGUACCAUCGGACUCUACAACCAAUGAUAUAGAGCUCAAUGGUGUUAUCUGGCCUGGUCAGAUUGCAGAGAAACCCGGUGGCUGGGUGUUUCCGUAUCAUGGGAAGUUUCUCCAUGCCAACACAUACCUCAAUGGAAUAUUUGCAAUUUUCCAAUGCAUAUUCACUUCAGUUGCAAGUGUAGAGGUCCAUGCCAAGAACCCCAACACUUCUCAAAUUAAUGUUCAUGAUCAAUCUAGCUUCUGCAUAAAGGAAAAGACCACAUCUGCUUGUACUCUGGAACUCUGGAUGCUAAGGAUGAGGUGUGUGCUGCUGCUGGGAGCGCGAGCGCAGCGGCCUGAGCAGGCCCGGGUAGAGAGAGCGGACGGCCUUGGCCUGCUACGGCCCAAACUGAGUGGCGGGAGCCCGGAUGUGGUCUUCGUGACUACAGAUGCAGUUUUUUUCUUUCCAAAAAAGGAAAGUAGAAGAAGAAAGACUGAGCGCUGUGAAGCCGGAGGUCGCCGAAGCCCCGGCACGCGGGGGCUGGGCGAGGAGCCCAGACCGGUGCUAUAUAUGCGUGGCACUCGACCGUAUCCGCAUCAAACCAUUUCACUCCAUGGACGGACGCCACUCCUAAAGCAGACAACUACUUCGAAAAUUCAGGUCGCAGAAUCCCGUUUCUGCAGCAGAUUGAGCUUACAACUGGUCCACGCAAAGCGCAAAGCUGGUGACGUUGACGAUGCAGACGAUGAUCAUGUAAGCAGCAGGCUGAACUCGACGGCGUCCACCUCCGGCGCCCAUGCUCUGCAAGACGAACUAUAUGAAUCUGACGGAUCCAUCCUUGGUGGAAGGAAGCAGAUGAGGAAAAACCUCAAGAUCAAUCGAGAAAUGCAAUUUGAAAGUCGAAUUUAA